AAGUACAUAUCUAAAAAAUUAAAUAAAAUAUAAAAAAAAGUCCCAACCUUUUUGUUAGUUUUUUCAAUGAAUUAAUCAACGAAAUCGAAGCGGUCGCUAGAGCUCGUCAUAAAAAAAAAGCCUUCGUCGCUAUUCUUUCGUAAGUCACAGCGAGGAAGAGAAAAGAAACCACUGUUGUCGCUGGCGACAAAAUCACCGUCGUCAUAAUAUUUGCAUAUUCCAUCUUCCGCCACUGCCGCCUCCGCCAACACAACCAAACUUUCUAGAAGGCUUUUGAUGAGUUUGGAGAAACAAUGGCAAGCCAUUCAGGAAGAGGAGCCCCUGCAAAUGGUUCCAUCUAUGUUUGUAAUUUACCUGAGGGAACCGAUGACACUAUGUUAGCCGAAUAUUUCGGGACUAUUGGCUUGCUAAAGAAAGAUAAGCGAACUGGUCGACCUAAGAUAUGGUUAUACAGAGAUAAGGCGACGAAUGAGCCGAAAGGAGAUGCUACGGUUACUUAUGAGGAUCCGCAUGCUGCGUUGGCUGCUGUUGAAUGGUUUAACAACAAGGAUUUCCAUGGGAACACAAUUGGUGUUUUUAUAGCAGAGAGUAAGAGUAGUAAUGCUGGCGGAGAUCCUCCAACUGUGGCUGGUGAUGGUGUUGGAUUGGAGGAAGAUGUGGCUAAGGACAUAAAUGGGGGUGGUGGAGGGGGUAGAGGUCGGGGUGAUGCUUCAGGAAAAACCUGGCAACAAGAGGGAGACUGGCUCUGUCCAAAUACAAGUUGUUCCAAUGUCAAUUUUUCCUUCCGUGGUGUGUGCAACCGCUGUGGAACUGCUCGACCUGCAGGUGCAUCCGGUGGUGGUGGAGGGGCUGCUGGUCGUGGGAGGGGUCGUGGUGCCCCUGACUCUGGAAGUCAUGGGCAAGCGGUGGCUGCUACUGGUGGACUUUUUGGCCCGAAUGACUGGCCUUGUCCUAUGUGUGGCAACAUCAACUGGGCUAAGCGUACAAAAUGCAAUAUUUGCAACACCAAUAAACCUGGUCACAAUGAGGGUGGUGUGAGAGGAGGACGUGGUGGUGGUUACAAGGAACUUGAUGAAGAAGAGAUAGAGGAAACAAGGCGACGUCGACGUGAGGCAGAAGAAGAUGAUGGUGAGAUGUAUGAUGAGUUUGGCAAUCUCAAGAAAAAGUUCCGAGCCAAAACACAACAAGCUGAAGCUAGAAGAGGGCUACCAGGUUCAGGUCGUGCUGGCUGGGAGGUUGAGGAACUAGUGAGUUUAUCAGGAAUAGCUAGAUUCAGAUUCUCCGACAAUUUCUUUUGCACCUUGGUAGCAACUUUGCUUUCGGCUCUAUUUAACCAACCUUUAAUUACAAACUGUUCAUGUUGGCUAAAUGAGUCCUUUACUUCACUCCUUAUGCGGAAACGACCGUAGUCAAUGAUCUAGAGAUAGUGUUCAAGUGUGAAUUAUUGUUGCACACAGUGCACUUGUGUGUGUUUUUAUGUAUAUAUGUAUAUAUUUUUCUAUUUCUUCUUUUUCCGAUUGUUAAGGAUUGUACAAUUGCUUUGUUCGUAUGCAAAGGAACACUUAGCGCCCUGGCUUGCUCUCUUAUUGGGUUCCCACUGUGCCCUCUUCCAUAUUUCAGCACAUAGUUAUGUGACAUUUGGGUGCUAUUUUUCUUUUUCCCUUACGUCAUCAACCAUGCUACUUGGAUGCUUGAAGAUGAAAUGGCCUGAGAGUUAAACAAUUUCAACCUGACGUAAAUUUCAAGUGUGACGGACAGGGAUGGAAGAGAAAGAAGCAGAGAUAAGGGAAGGGAGCGGGAUGAUAGAGAAAGUAGCAAGAAUAGAGAUCGUG